GCACCACCCAGCACGACGCCGCCGAGCUGUGCCGCGCGACCUCUGCGCCUGUGAGCUUGCCCAUCUCUCUCUCUCUCUCUCUCUC
rnacentral:miRNA from 1 species